CCUACGGGCGGCAGCAGUGAGGAAUAUUGGUCAAUGGGAGCGAGCCUGAACCAGCCAAGUCGCGUGAAGGAUGACUGCCCUACGGGUUGUAAACUUCUUUUAUCAAAGAAUAAAAUGCGGCACGUGUGCCUUUUUGUGUGUACUUGAUGAAUAAGGAUCGGCUAACUCCGUGCCAGCAACCGCGGUAAUACGGAGGAUCCGAGCGUUAUUCGGAAUUACUGGGCGUAAAGGGCUCGUUGGCGGUUGGUUAAGUUGGGGGGUAAAUUCCGGGGCUCAACCCUGGAAGAGCCGUUGAUACUGGGCGACUUGAGGUCGGGAGAGGGAGGCGGAAUGCGAGGUGUAGGAGUGAAAUGCGUAGAUAUCGGGAGGAACAUCAGUGGCGAAGGCAGCGACCUGGAGCCGGAUUGACGCUGAGGCGCGAAAGCGUGGGGAGCAAACAGGAUUAGAUACCCGGGUAGUC
rnacentral:rRNA from 1 species